rnacentral:ncRNA from 2 species
GAUGUAAUGUGGGGGAACCGGUGAUGCCGGUUGAGAUUUAGUCCGUGAGACGAUGACCCUUGGAACCUGAUCUGGUUGAUACCGGCGGAGGGAACAUAUUCUUAAACAAU